GCCCCGCGGUGCAUUAGCUAGUUGGUAAGGUAACGGCUUACCAAGGCGAUGAUGCAUAGCCGAGUUGAGAGACUGAUCGGCCACAUUGGGACUGAGACACGGCCCAAACUCCUACGGGAGGCAGCAGUAGGGAAUCUUCCACAAUGGACGCAAGUCUGAUGGAGCAACGCCGCGUGAGUGAAGAAGGUUUUCGGAUCGUAAAGCUCUGUUGUUGGUGAAGAAGGAUAGAGGUAGUAACUGGCCUUUAUUUGACGGUAAUCAACCAGAAAGUCACGGCUAACUACGUGCCAGCAGCCGCGGUAAUACGUAGGUGGCAAGCGUUGUCCGGAUUUAUUGGGCGUAAAGCGAGCGCAGGCGGAAAAAUAAGUCUGAUGUGAAAGCCCUCGGCUUAACCGAGGAACUGCAUCGGAAACUGUUUUUCUUGAGUGCAGAAGAGGAGAGUGGAACUCCAUGUGUAGCGGUGGAAUGCGUAGAUAUAUGGAAGAACACCAGUGGCGAAGGCGGCUCUCUGGUCUGCAACUGACGCUGAGGCUCGAAAGCAUGGGUAGCGAACAGGAUUAGAUACCCUGGUAGUCCAUGCCGUAAACGAUGAGUGCUAAGUGUUGGGAGGUUUCCGCCUCUCAGUGCUGCAGCUAACGCA
rnacentral:rRNA from 1 species